AUUGAACGCUGGCGGCAGGCCUAACACAUGCAAGUCGAGCGGAUGAAGGGAGCUUGCUCCUGGAUUCAGCGGCGGACGGGUGAGUAAUGCCUAGGAAUCUGCCUGGUAGUGGGGGAUAACGUCCGGAAACGGGCGCUAAUACCGCAUACGUCCUGAGGGCGUAAGUGGGGGAGCUUCGGACCUCACGCUAUCAGAUGAGCCUAGGUCGGAUUAGCUAGUUGGGGGGGUAAAGGCCUACCAAGGCGACGAUCCGUAACUGGUCUGAGAGGAUGAUCAGUCACACUGGAACUGAGACACGGUCCAGACUCCUACGGGAGGCAGCAGUGGGGAAUAUUGGACAAUGGGCGAAAGCCUGAUCCAGCCAUGCCGCGUGUGUGAAGAAGGUCUUCGGAUUGUAAAGCACUUUAAGUGGGGAGGAAGGGCAGUAAGUUAAUACCUUGCUGUUUUGACGUUACCAACAGAAUAAGCACCGGCUAACUUCGUG
rnacentral:rRNA from 1 species